GUACACGCUGUGACUAGCAUAUCAAUAAGCGGAGGAAAAGAAACUAACAAGGAUUCCCCUAGUAACGGCGAGUGAAGCGGGAAGAGCUCAAAUUUGAAAUCUUAAAGGGCUUUCCCUUUACGAAUUGUAGUUUAAAGAAGUGUUUUCUGUUGAGGUUUUGGUAAAAGUUCUUUGGAAUAGGACAUCAUAGAGGGUGUGAAUCCCGUAUUUGACCUUUACUUUCAACUUUGUGAUACACUUUCAAAGAGUCGGAUUGUUUGGGAAUGCAGUCCAAAAUGGGUGGUAAAUUUCAUCUAAAGCUAAAUAUUGGCGAGAGACCGAUAGCGAACAAGUACCGUGAGGGAAAGAUGAAAAGGAACUUUGAAAAGGAGAGCUAAACAGUACGUGAAAUUGUCAAAAGGGAAGCGUUUGACACCAGUGUUGUUUUUUCUGAAAAUCAAUUAAAGAACUGUUUAUGCUAAGUUGUUUAGGACUUUAUCAGCUAUCUGUUUAGUUUUGAGCUUUUCUUUAAUGCACUUUUCAGUUAACAAGUCAACAUCAAUUUCUUUUGCUGUAAAAAAAGCUUGAGGAAGGUGGCUUGAGAUUCGUCUUAAGUGUUUAUAGCCUCUUGCCUAUGCAGUCGGAGAGAUUGAGGUCUGCAGCGUAGAUCCUUCGGGGCUAAAUGCAUUUGUGCUAAGUUAUAGCAUUUUAUAGACAACUUGUUGACUAUGAUUUGUCUUGUAGCUUACUCGCUUAUGUUAUUUUACCUACGCUUAGGAUGUUGAAGAUGUAGCACAUCAU
rnacentral:rRNA from 1 species